rnacentral:rRNA from 1 species
UCUGCCUGGUAGUGGGGGAUAGCCCAGAGAAAUUUGGAUUAAUACCGCAUACGCCCUACGGGGGAAAGCUGGGGACCUUCGGGCCUAGCGCUAUCAGAUGAGCCUAUGUCGGAUUAGCUAGUUGGUGAGGUAACGGCUCACCAAGGCGACGAUCCGUAGCUGGUCUGAGAGGAUGAUCAGCCACACUGGGACUGAGACACGGCCCACACUCCUACGGGAGGCAGCAGUGGGGAAUAUUGGACAAUGGGCGCAAGCCCUGAUCCAGCCCUGCCCCGUGUGUGAAGAAGGCCUUCCGGUUGUAAAGCACUUUCAGCGAGGAGGAAAUUUUUUUUUUUCUAAUACCAACGCCCUGUGACGUUACUCGCAGAAGAAGCACCGGCUAACUCCGUGCCAGCAGCCGCGGUAAUACGAAGGGUGCAAGCGUUAAUCGGAAUUACUGGGCGUAAAGCGUGCGUAGGCGGCCUUUUAAGUUGGAUGUGAAAGCCCCCGGGCUUAACCUGGGAACGGCUCCCAAACUGAGAGGCUCGAGUGCGGAAGAGGAGUGUGGAAUUUCCUGUGUAGCGGUGAAAU